rnacentral:lncRNA from 1 species
AAGAAUCAGGCUGAGGGUUAAUCUUGUAAUUUCACAUCUCUGUUACCUUUAAACCCAAAAGAAAAAGCUUUUUAGCCAAUGGGCACUGUUACACGACUAGUUUGGGUAUAAGAGUCAACCACUGGUCAACGUGACCAUUCGCCAAUAGUAACCUUCUCUCUUUCCAAAAAAAUUGGAAACUGUCAAGCAAUAACUUCGAGCUUUUAAAAAUAGAAUAUUCCUGUUAAUCUCGCUCCUGUUUUAACUAUGCCAUGGUUAUAAAUAAUGGAGGAAUUCAUGCUUUCCGUUUCACCCGAGCCAUUUGCCUUUACAUCUUCCACACUGUAGCUCUAGCGUCGGCACUUGCGCUCAUUGAGUUCGAGUGCCACCCUCCCCCACUGCUUAGCC